UCCAGGUGCACCACUCUCCAAGCACUCCUUGUCAUUGCCAAUCUGGAAGCUCUCUGAAACUCAUUCUAUUGGGAUUUUUAUGGAGGCUCCCUCAUGUAGGCAUGAUCAAUUAUUAACUCAGUUUCUAGCCUCUCUGCCCUCUCUGGAGGAUAAGGGAUAGGACUAAAAAUUCCAAGCUUCUAAUCGGGGCUUGGUCUUUCUGGUGACCAGCCCCCAUCCAGGAGACAUCCAGGAGCCCACCCAGAGUUGCCUCAAUAGAAGAAAUGAUUCUCCUAGUGUUCUUAUCACUUAGGAAAUUACAAGGGUUUUAGGAGCUCUGUGUCAGGGAUGGGGUCAAAGACAAAUAUUAGAACAAGAGAUGUUCCUAGUGUUCUUAUCAUUUAGGAAAUUACAAGGAUUUUAGGAGCUCUGUGCCAGGAACUGGAGACAGAGAUCCAUAAAUAUAUUUUCUGUUAUUUCAGAACCCAUAGGUGGAAUUUCUAGAUCAUAUGGUAAUUCUAUUUUUCAUUUUUGAAGGAACUGCCAUACUGUUUUCCACAGUUUUAUAUUCUCACCAUCCAAGCACAAGGGUUCCAAUUUUUCAAAAUCCUUGCCAACACUUGUUAUUUUCUGAUUUUGUGAUAGUAAAACUAUUCUAAUGUGUGUGAAGAGGUAUCUCAAUGUGGUUUUAUUUUGCAUUUUCCUGAUACUUAGUGAUGUUGAGCAUCUUUUCACGUGUUUACUGGUCAUUUUAUGUCUUUGGAGAAAUGUCUAUUCAAGUCCUUUGUGCAUUUUUAAAUUGGGUUGUUUUUUUAUUGUUGAGUUGUGGGAGUUCUUUAUAUAUUCUAGAUAUUAAUCCCUUAUCAGAUAUGUGAUUUGCAAAUAUUUUCAACCAUUCUGUGGGUUGCCUUUUUACUUUGUUAAUAGUAUCUUGUGAUACAGAAAACUUUUGCAUUUUGAUGAAGUCCAAUUUGUUGUUUUUUUGUUGUUGCUUAUGUCUUUGGUGUCAUAUUAAAGAAAUCAUUGUUGGCAAUGGCAUUUGGACCCAAUGACAUGCAGCUUUUACCCUGUGUUUUCUUCUAAGGAUUUUAUAGCUUCAGCUCUAAUAUUAGAUCUUUGAUCCAUUUUGAGUUAAUUUUUGUAUAUGGUGUAAGGUAAGGGUCCAAUCUCAUUCUUUUGCAUGUGGUCAUCUAGUUUUCCCAUCACUAUUUGUUGAAAAACUUAUCCUUUCUCCAAUGAAUGGUUUUUGCACCCUUGUCAAAAAUCAUUUGACUGUAUAUGAAAAGGUUUAUUUCUGGGCUCUCUAUACUAUUUCAUUAGUAUAUUGUGUGUAUUUAUGCCAGUACCACACUGUUUUGAUUACUUUGUAGUAAGUUUUGAAAUCAGGAAGUGUGACUUCUCUAAAUUGUUCUUCUUUUUCUACAUUCUUUUGGCUAUUUAGGGUCCCUUGAGAGUCCAUAUGAAUUUUAGGAUAGAUUUUUCUAUUUGUGCAAAAAACAUCAUUGGAAUUUUUACCUCCUUGAGUUCUCCGCCACCAACUUCCAUAACCAUCAGGAUAUUCUACAACUUCUGCAAGAGUAACAGUUUUACCUUACACUGUAUUUGUCUCGUGUGGUUUAAAACAUCCAGAAAUCAUUGAUAAACUGACCCUGCCCAAACUAAAGCAUGGUGAGUUAUAAAAGAUGGUCGCUGUUAAGUGGGGAGUGAUUGCAGGUUGAACUUAAUUUUAUAAGUGGUCAAUUUAUUACAAUAUAUUGUUCUAUUAUCUAUUUCACUUCUUUUUUUAAAAAAGUGAUAUUUGAGGGCACUUAGAUAAUAAAAAGUUGAGAAGAUAACGAACUGAUAUACUCUGUAAGCUUGAAAUGUUUUCAAACAUAAGCUACAAUAAGAACUAAAACUAAGAAAUGGCAGAGGAAAUAGAGAUAAGAAGAUGAAAUUGCAAAACUGAAUCUAUAAUAAUAUCUCAAUGGCUAGCGCUGUAGUGCCAAGAAGGUGGUGAAGUCAAAGAAUUCGUAAAGAUGAUAAUAGACUGCAAAGAAAAAAGACUGAAAUUUUUGUAGAGAGAAUUUUUACAGCGAUAUUACAGAUAGAGAACAGGGAAGAGAAGUUGGAGUGAGAGACUAUCUUCUUAAAUUACUUCCACUGUAGA